AAAUGACUGUACCCGAAUAAGAAGGUCCGGCUAACUUCGUGCCAGCAGCCGCGGUAAUACGAAGGGACCUAGCGUAGUUCGGAAUUACUGGGCUUAAAGAGUUCGUAGGUGGUUGAAAAAGUUAGUGGUGAAAUCCCAGAGCUUAACUCUGGAACUGCCAUUAAAACUUUUCAGCUAGAGUAUGAUAGAGGAAAGCAGAAUUUCUAGUGUAGAGGUGAAAUUCGUAGAUAUUAGAAAGAAUACCAAUUGCGAAGGCAGCUUUCUGGAUCAUUACUGACACUGAGGAACGAAAGCAUGGGUAGCGAAGAGGAUUAGAUACCCUCGUAGUCCAUGCCGUAAACGAUGUGUGUUAGACGUUGGAAAUUUAUUUUCAGUGUCGCAGCGAAAGCGAUAAACACACCGCCUGGGGAGUACGACCGCAAGGUUAAAACUCAAAUGAAUUGACGGGGACCCGCACAAGUAGUGGAGCAUGUGGUUUAAUUCGAAGAUACGCGCAGAACCUUACCAACACUUGACAUGUUCGUCGCGACUCUAAGAGAUUAGAGUUUUCGGUUCGGCCGGACGAAACACAGGUGCUGCAUGGCUGUCGUCAGCUCGUGUCGUGAGAUGUUGGGUUAAGUCCCGCAACGAGCGCAACCCUCACUUUUAGUUGCCAUCAUUAAGUUGGGCACUCUGAAAGAACUGCCAGUGAUAAGCUGGAGGAAGGUGGGGAUGAUGUCAAGUCCUCAUGGCCCUUACGUGUUGGGCUAUACACGUGCUACAAUGGUAUCUACAACAGGAAGCAAGACUGCGAGGUCAAGCAAAUCCCUAAAAGAUACCUCAGUUCGGAUUGCACUCUGCAACUCGAGUGCAUGAAGCUGGAAUUACUAGUAAUCGUGGAUCAGCGUGCCACGGUGAAUGCGUUCCCGGGUCUUGUACACACCGCCCGUCACACCAUGGGAGUUGGUUCUACCUUAAGGCAAGGUUUCAAACCCUUGACCACGGUAUAGUCAGCGACUGGGGUG
rnacentral:rRNA from 1 species